rnacentral:sRNA from 1 species
AGUCCCCAGUGCUCCGUCGUCUUUGAAGAUUGUGAAUCCAACACUGGACUCUCUCACUUUGGAAUGGGAUCCACCGAGCCACCCGAAUGGCAUUUUGACAGAGUACACCUUAAAGUAUCAGCCAAUUAACAGCACACAUGAAUUAGGCCCUCUGGUAGAUUUGAAAAUUCCUGCCAACAAGACACGGUGGACUUUAAAAAAUUUAAAUUUCAGCACUCGAUAUAAGUUUUAUUUCUAUGCACAAACAUCAGCAGGAUCAGGAAGUCAAAUUACAGAGGAAGCAGUGACAACUGUGGAUGAAGCGAUGGCAAGCCGGCAGGUGGAUAUUGCAACUCAGGGCUGGUUCAUUGGUCUAAUGUGUGCUGUCGCUCUCCUUAUCUUAAUUUUGCUGAUUGUUUGCUUCAUUAGAAGAAACAAGGGUGGUAAAUAUCCAGUUAAAGAAAAGGAAGAUGCCCAUGCUGACCCUGAAAUCCAGCCUAUGAAGGAAGAUGAUGGGACGUUUGGAGAAUACAGACAGUAGGAUCUGCAUCCUUACUAGCGUAUAGAAAAAUCAGAGAAACAAUGCAACCAACAGU